rnacentral:lncRNA from 1 species
UUUUACAAACUAAAUUGAAAUGUCAUUCACUUCAACCAUUACGAUUACAAGAAACUUCAAAUCUUGCUUGAACUUCAAAUCACUACAAAAACUUGCUUAAACUUCAAAUCACUAGCAUCCAAACUCAAGAUAGGAUCUGCAACAGUUCAUGAAACUCAGCGGAUUUCACUACGAUAUCACCUGGCUGCAAAGAGAAAUACACAAUAAGCGACUUCAUCCAAACUCAAAACAUGGAUGAAUAUAGCAUACUUGAUGAAUUUAGUACUACCAGCCAGUUAAGUUAUAUGGUGGAAUAAGACAUGUUAGUUGACAAGAAUAUAUUACAACAAUAACAACAUAAUACACAGUGAAAUUUCACAAGCGGGUUUGGGAAAGGUAGAAUAUACGCACAAGUAAUGACUUAUCCCCAGUUACGCUUGUCAGGGAGCAAAAGGAAAACAAUUACUAUUGUUUAUGUCCAGCCAAAUAAUACAACUUACAGAGUUAAGAGCCUGCUCAAGAAAUACAUCAGUAGCUACCUUUUUGUGUAACUCAAACCAAUUGGGUCUGCGAUGGCCACAAGCCACUACUCCCCUGUACUAAUUUUACUUUUUAAUGAAAUGCUUCAUAUUUCCUUACCAAAAAAAAAGUAACAACAAAUGGGUCCUAGUUAGAUAAAGUCUAAAGAUUAAUUCAUUGGGAAAAGAAAUUAAUUAGUAAUAUCUAUAUGGCUAGAUCUCACAUUAGUUGUACACUGAAAUGUACCUCUAAUCCUUAAUUCUUUGAAGUAUCAAAGUUCCAGAGAAAAAGAUUUUACUUACCAAUGCCAACCACCUUGCUAUGCCUAUAUAACAUAAUUAUAGGUGCAGUAAGUUCUCAAGACAAUGUAAAAUAUUCAUUAAACAACACCAACAACUAUAUAAAAGCUAUAACUUGAAAUGUAAAAGUCCAACUAGUGAAUUAGAAAAUACCAGUUACUAUUCAGAUGAUCAAUUAUAAUUUUUUGAAAAGGCACAAUUACUAAAAAUAAUGUGACCUCUCAAAACUGAACAUGAGUCUAAUGAUGCUUAGGAUUGGGUCUGUUGGGAGAAAUUGAAUUUUGCUUGCAAAAAGAGUCCACUGGCCAUCCAAGAUGUAAUCUUGGCAAUAAUCUUGUCCACUAAGGGUUUAAUUGGACUAUUGUAAGCCUUUUAGGUGUCGUUUAAUACAAAGAUUAAUAAUGUAGGGAUUAGUAAUGCAAGGUUCCUUAGUAAAAUUGUUUGGCACACCUAGAUAUUUGAAACAGAGUUCUCCAACCUCAUAUCCAAGCAUAGUCAAGAUGGUUUCCUUAGUAAAUUUGUUAAUACCUUCAAAACAUACCUGACUUUUCAAAAUGAUGGUCUUCAAAUCAGAAGCAUCAGAAAACAUAUUGAAUUUACCCCUCGAUAGUUGUAGUUGUAUAGAUCUGACAUCUCAUCUAGUAAAUAUAGUAAGUCAACAGCAACAAAGUACUGAUUCAAAACUGAUGUCAACAUCUAGAUGGAAAAAAAUGUUUCAUCAAACUUUCUUAGUUGUAAAUCAGCACAACUACAAAGAAAAAAGACAUUCUUGCAACUCUUCCAAAUCUGUUUGGGUUAAAGGAAUUUUGCAUUUAACUAUCAUUCCAUCUUCACUAACUAUCUAAAGGACAAAAUCAAAUAAAAAAAUACAAUAAACUCACAAGAUUUGUAGAGCGUCGCAGAACUUGAGCGAGUUGUGCAUGACUGCUUAUAAGAGCUUUUAUCUUCUUCAACAAUGCAGCCACAAAUAUUGACACUAUAGCACGAAAAAAUAGUGCAAACUGUCUUAAAGAAAGAUCUCAUCAGAAAAAUGAGAACCAAAUUUAAAAAGAAUAGCUGAAAAGUAGAUGAAACUUACGGAAAUAGCUGGGAAUAUAGACGAAAUCAGGUUCAGUAAUGUGGGAGGAGAUAGUG